rnacentral:lncRNA from 1 species
GGAUCCCUCCCUUAAAGGCUCAGGCUGGCCUGAGACUCCUAGAGAGGCCACAUUCCCCCGUUCUCUGCUCAGUCCACCGCAGGCAUCGGCCUCAGUGCUGGGUCAGCCUGGGUGGAUUUUUUAUGGACCAGAUGGGAAGCUCUCCACUCUCCAAGAUAUAUCCCUCCUCUGCCGCACGCGCGCGUGCUGCGUCUGUGCAUCGCUCUGUUGGCGACGUGACGUCAUUCUGUAAGAAGCCUCUCUGUGUUAUUGUGGGUACACGCGUAAUGUCUGUAUGUGUGAUGCGCCUCUGCCUGCGGUUUGCUCUCCUCCCCCAGGUUUCCAGGUUACAUAAGCAACUGAGGGGCUACUCAGGCUUGGGCAAUGGGCUCCCCCUACUGGUAGCCUCUGGAACUCGCAGCCUGGGGAGUGGCUUCAGGAAGAGCGCGUCUCCCAGGGCCUCCUUCCACAGGGAGGCCCGCCCAGUCCUCGUUGACUGCCUGCCCUUAGCUUCUUCCCAGCCCCAAGCCCUGGGGUGCUCUCUACUUCUGAGUGCACCUCUCGUGACAGUCAUACUAGGGGGUUGGUUAUCACUUGCUAUGGUACAUCUCCUUGGCUUGGCUGUAUGUUCUGCAAAGGAAACACGUCCACCUGUUUAUCAUUGCUCUCCCAGCAAGAAGUGUCGUCCCAGCUGGUAUUCGUGUGUGCGUGCAUGCUUCCACAGCAUGCCCAUUCAAAAAAUUUAAUUAGAGUACAGUUGAUUUACAAUGUUGUGUUAGUUUCUGCUAUGUAGCAACGUGAAUCAAUCCAAGUGAGUAAGUAUACAUAUAUCCACUCUAGUUUAGAUUCUUUCCCCCAUAUAGGUCAUUACAGAGUAUUAAGUACAGUUCCCUGCACUAUACAGUAGGUCCUUCACAGUUAUCUAUUUCCAAUCGGUAUUUGUUCAAUGAAAAGUUUAUAGGGUGGAGAGGCUUGGGAAGACAGUGGGGUAUGGGAAGAUUUUUUUUUUUAAGCUUUUAAAAAGUCAAUGUUUAUUCCUUUUAAGAUACUUAGGAGACUUUAAAAAGGUCCAAAUUCCUAAGGAUGUACAGGUUUCAGAUAAGAUGAAAGUUUGGUGCUGUUGAUAUCUCUGUUGCUUAAGCCUAAAUUUUAACCUGUUCAAUUCUAUACCUCUGUGAUUCUUCCAAUUAAGGAGUAGUAAAUUCCUCUGACUUUCGGUAGACAUCAUUAAAAAUGACCACUCCUAGAGGAGUGGGAAAAGCAGCGGCAGUAGCCAUCAUGGUCACUGCCUGGGGGCUUUGGGACAGAUAGGCCCGAACUUGUUACACCUUCAGUUCAGUUCAGUUCAGUCGCUCAGUCGUGUCCGACUCUUU